rnacentral:rRNA from 1 species
UACGGGGGGGCAAGCGUUGUUCGGAAUUACUGGGCGUAAAGGGCUCGUAGGCGGCCAACUAAGUCAGACGUGAAAUCCCUCGGCUUAACCGGGGAACGGCCUCUGUAAUACUGGCUGGCUGGAGUUCGGGAGAGGGAUGCGGAAUUCCGAGGUGUAGCGGUGAAAUGCGUAGAUAUCUGGAGGAACACCGGUGGCGAAGGCGGCA